CCUACGGGGUGCAGCAGUGGGGAAUAUUGCACAAUGGGGGAAACCCUGAUGCAGCGACGCCGCGUGAGUGAAGAAGUAUUUCGGUAUGUAAAGCUUUAUCAGCAGGGAAGAAAAUGACGGUACCUGAUUAAGAAGCCCCGUCUAACUACGUGCCAGCAGCCGCGGUAAUACGUAGGGGGCAAGCGUUAUCCGGAUUUACUGGGUGUAAAGGGAGCGUAGACGGUGAUGCAAGUCAGAUGUGAAAGGCCGGGGCUCAACCGUGAAACUGCAUUUGAAACUGUUUUUCUUGAGUGCUGGAGAGGCAAGCGGAAUUCCGUGUGUAGCGGUGAAAUGCGUAGAUAUACGGAGGAACACCAGUGGCGAAGGCAGAUUGCUGGACAGUAACUGACGCUGAGGCGCGAAAGCGUGGGUAGCAAACAGGAUUAGAUACCCUAGUAGUC
rnacentral:rRNA from 1 species